rnacentral:tRNA from 1 species
AUCUUUCUAGUAUUAAAACUAGUACAUAUGACUUCCAAUCAUCUAGUCUUGGUUAAACUCCAAGGAAAGAUA